rnacentral:rRNA from 1 species
CGAAUGCUGACAUAAGUAACGAUAAAGCGGGUGAAAAGCCCGCUCGCCGGAAGACCAAGGGUUCCUGUCCAACGUUAAUCGGGGCAGGGUGAGUCGACCCCUAAGGCGAGGCCGAAAGGCGUAGUCGAUGGGAAACAGGUUAAUAUUCCUGUACUUGGUGUUACUGCGAAGGGGGGACGGAGAAGGCUAUGUUGGCCGGGCGACGGUUGUCCCGGUUUAAGCGUGUAGGCUGGUUUUCCAGGCAAAUCCGGAAAAUCAAGGCUGAGGCGUGAUGACGAGGCACUACGGUGCUGAAGCAACAAAUGCCCUGCUUCCAGGAAAAGCCUCUAAGCAUCAGGUAACAUCAAAUCGUACCCCAAACCGACACAGGUGGUCAGGUAGAGAAUACCAAGGCGCUUGAGAGAACUCGGGUGAAGGAACUAGGCAAAAUGGUGCCGUAACUUCGGGAGAAGGCACGCUGAUAUGUAGG